UACGUAGGGGGCUAGCGUUGUCCGGAAUCAUUGGGCGUAAAGCGCGUGUAGGCGGUCCGGUAAGUCCGCUGUGAAAGUCGGGGGCUCAACCCUCGAAUGCCGGUGGAUACUGUCGGGCUAGAGUACGGAAGAGGCGAGUGGAAUUCCUGGUGGUAGCGGUGAAAUGCGCAGAUAUCAGGAGGAACACCAAUUGCGAAGGCAGCUCG
rnacentral:rRNA from 1 species